rnacentral:rRNA from 1 species
AGAGUUUGAUCCUGGCUCAGAACGAACACUGGCGGCGUGGAUUAGGCAUGCAAGUCGAACGAGAACGUUCUCUUCGGAGAACUAGUACAGUGGCGAACGGGUGAGUAACGGGUGGAAAACCUGCCCUUCAAUGGGGGAUAACAGUUCUAACGAGCUGCUAAUACCGCAUACGACCUUCGGACCGCAUGGUUUGAAGGUGAAAGGUGGCCUCUCUAUAGAAGCUGCCGUUGAAGGAUGGUUCCGCCUCCCAUUAGCUUGUUGGUGGGGUAAUGGCCUACCAAGGCGACGAUGGGUAGCCGGCCUGAGAGGGUGUCCGGCCACACUGGGACUGAGAUACGGCCCAGACUCCUACGGGAGGCAGCAGUCGAGAAGCUUCCGCAAUGGGGGAAACCCUGACGGAGCGACGCCGCGUGAGUGAAGAAGGCCCUAUGGGUUGUAAAACUCUGUCAGAUUGGGAAGAAAGUUCUGCGGUUAAUACCCGUAGAGUUUGACGGUACCAUCAGAGAAGCACCGCUAACU